UACGUAGGGGGCAAGCGUUGUCCGGAAUCAUUGGGCGUAAAGAGCGUGUAGGCGGCCCGGUAAGUCCGCUGUGAAAGUCCAGGGCUCAACCCUGGGAUGCCGGUGGAUACUGUCGGGCUCGAGUCCGGAAGAGGAGUGUGGAAUUCCUGGUGUAGCGGUGAAAUGCGCAGAUAUCAGGAGGAACACCAAUGGCGAAGGCAGCUCGCUGGGACGGUACUGACGCUGAGACGCGAAAGCGUGGGGAGCGAACAGG
rnacentral:rRNA from 1 species